rnacentral:lncRNA from 1 species
CUGUACUACUAAUAUCCAUUAUUCCAAGUGUGAUAUUCAUACUCUCAAAUCAACGUUUAUUAACUAUACUACUUUCAACCAGUACUUAAAGUAUAACAUCCUGACUCUGAAAACCAAACUCUCUGUUAUGCUACUGAAAUGAUCUGCAAAUUCUGCUUACUAAUUUACAUUAGCUUUGUUUAGACCGUCUCGUAAUCUAUAAGAAUUACAAUAAUUUAGAUAUUUGUCUGUAAACUAUAUUAUAAAUAAUCAACACUGUAAUGAAAUACGUUAUUAAAAUAUUAUUGAUAUGUAACUCAUUUAAUAAAAGUUUUUUUUAAUUGACUUGCUCCACCGGGGUUAUAAGAGCAGCAUGAACCUGAAAUAUGCUCUUCCGGUCGAUGACGAGUUCACCAUGGGUGAUUUUUAGGCUUCUGUUGCUGGUUGUUUUGCGGUUGGAAAGUUCAUGUUGAACUAGGUCUUGCAAUACGCAGUUUUGACUGGAUGAAUAUUUAUUUUGGAGAAAAUCCCUUAAAGCUUCCACCCAUUGGUAAAUAAUACUCUCACCAAUGUGAUUUUCAGGCUAUUAGUAUUGCUGAGUUGUUUGCAGCUUGAAUCUUCAACGUCUUCCACUAAUUUGAAUUUAUUGAUGGAUACAUAUUUGUCUUGGAGAAACUCCCUUAGUGCCUCCACCCAUUGGCUAUUAGUAUUGCUGAGUUGUUUGCUGCUGGAAACUUCAACGUCUUCCACUAAUUUGAAGUUAUUGCUGGAUACAUAUUUAUCUUGGAGAAACUCCCUCAGUGCCUCCACCCAUUGGUAAAUAACACUAUCACCAAUGUUCUCCAUAAAACAUACAACUAACAUGUACUCCCUAUACUACUAAUAAGUUACUUUAACUAGAACCUCAUUAGAGUAUUGGAAAUUGAAUCUUACCAAAGCAAGAAAUUGUUUUAUGAAAUUAAGGAAUUUUUAUUUGGUUAGGCUUAAAAGGGUUACUGUAUUAUGCCAAGUUUAAUUUAUUGUACUAUUAAAUAACGAAUACUGUAUAGUAAUGCUUUUAAUCAUUGUGACUACUUUUGUGUACUUAAUAAAUUAUGUAUAUUAUUAUAAUAGGUAAUAUUAAAGGGUCAUCUUUGUAAAUUUUAGGUCUCCUGCAAAACACCUACGAUCAUACAAAAAUACAAUGCCUUAAUGUGGUUUUAUACGAAAUUAAUUAAAAUUUAAUCAGAAUUUCAUUUUUAGACCUAAUAAACAUAUGUAAACUUCUCAUUAAUAACUGUUUUAGCAUAAUAUUAGUCUAAUCUUUUUUCUAAGUAAAUAACACGAUAAGCAUAAAUCUACAAUUAGGGCAAGUAGUUUAGAGGUGGCGAAUUUUAAAAGAAAGUUUGCAAAGUGUUAAAAAAGAAGUUAACAGCAAGAACAUAACUUACUAUUGCACAUAUUUUAGAUUGAGUUGUGAAAUCUUAUUGUUACUAAUGUGCUAAUAGACUUGCAAAUUUUUUGAAGUUGGCAGUUCUGUUUUAAGUUUUUCACUCGUAUGUCAUGUUAUCUGAUACAUUAGAGUAAGUUAUUGUAUUUCAUUCACAAUCAAGUGUAUUUUUGAAAAACUAAGAAUAAUCUUGUACGAUUCUUUUUUAUUUUUUUUACUCAUAUGUUUUGUUUAUUUUUGCAUUUUUCAUUGUAAUUUAAAAUUAUGUCUAACUGUUAAUAAAUAAAUUACAAUUAUUUUGUAGUUUAAAGUGUCAUAAAACAACUGUAAUAGGUGUUCAAUAUGUAGGUAAUAGGUGUACAUAAAGCAUAUUUUCCAAACAGUACACUGGCAUACAUUAAAUAUAUAUUGUAUAGGAAUUUAAAUACACCUUUUUUUGCGUAUUAAACAAUACGAGAACA